rnacentral:tRNA from 1 species
GGCGCCGUCGUCUAGAGGCCUAGGAUAUCUGCUUUUCAAGCAGAAGACCACGGGUUCGAAUCCCGUCGGCGCUA